rnacentral:rRNA from 1 species
UACGAACUGUGCGAACGUUACUCGGAAUCACUGGGCUUACAGGGUGCGUAGGUGGCUUAUUAAGCAGGGUGUGAAAUCCCUCGGCUCAACCGAGGAACCGCGCUCUGAACUGAUGAGCUGGAGUAUGCUAGAGGUGCAUGGAACAUCCAGUGGAGCGGUGAAAUGUGUUGAUAUUGGAUGGAACACCAGAGGCGAAGGCGAUUCACUGGGGCAUAACUGACACUGAGGUACGAAAGCCAGGGGAGCAAACGGG